AACAGCCACUAGGUUGUACUAUUAAGCUAAAAUUAGCCAAAAGGUUUUGUUUUUGAUUUUGAAUCCUUUUAUUGUUAGCCGCAUGGCAGCAGAUCUUUGGAUAAGUGCAGAUUUUAGGGUAGUUCCUGCUUUUCUUCCGGUACCUGAUGGGGAGGGACAGUACGCUACGUCAGCAGCCGUGUUACUAUAACAGGAGCCUUGGAAAAAACAAAGACAUACAUUACCUGAUUGAGGCUGUCACAUCUACACUUGAUCCCUGGGUGAAGACUGAUGGUGCUAACAAUAAAAAAAGGAAA